UUGAGCAAGGUGUCAAUGGUACCCAACCACUGUUUAUUGCAAAUGAGGGUAAAGUUGUCUCCUUGGAAGAUGAUUUUAUGCGUUUAACUAGAAAAUGCACUAUUGAAGAGCUUUAAGAUAACAAUGAGGAGGGUUCUUUUAUCAUUUUUGGUACAAUCCAAGGUAUUGUUGAGGAUGGAGGUUGGUGGUAUUCUGCUUGUGUGUGUGGAAAGGGUAUCUAUCCUCAAAAAUGGUACAUAUUACUGUGAUUUUUGUUUGAAGCACAUAACUAAUGUGACUCCAAGGUCAGAAAUUUUGUUCAAAAUGUCUUUUCAUUUUGUCUUGUGGAUUGUUUAUAAAAAUAAUGUUUCUUGGUAUUAUUUAUUCCGAAUCAUUGUGUUCCUUUUUUUUCUCUGCAGAUUUAAAAUUAAAGUAACAGUUGAAGAUCAUAGUGGGGAGGAUAUUUUCCUUCUCUUUGAUUGUGAGGCAUCUUAUUUGCUUAAGAAAUCAUGUGCUGACUUGUUUACCGAGGUUCAAAGAGAUGCAAGUGUAUAUUCUUAGUUUUCUUUUGUGUAUUGUUCACUUAAGGGAUGUGAUAUGUGUUAUUUAAACUCUGUAUUUCUUAUGUAUUAUUUUCAAAAUAGCUUGUAUGUGGGGAUACUUAUCCUCCUAUAUUCCAAGAGCUCAUUGGAAAGAAGUUACUGCUGAAGGUUGAUACCAAAGGUGUGCCACAUGAUACAUUUUAUGGCACUUUCCGAGUUAGGAGAAUAUGUGAUGAUCCCACCAUUAUUGCCAUGUUUGAGCUUCCCGAUUAUAAUGGUGAUGAUGAGUCUACUCCAAAAAAUAUUAGAUAUACAUAUAAUUAUUUUUACAUUGUGUAAAUUCAUGUUUUGUUCCUUUUUUUAUUGUGUUGUGGUGAAUUUUUCUUACCGUUUUAUGUAUUUUUAAACUCUUGUGGCAUAUGAAUAGGAGCCUGAUUUACACAAAUCUGUUCCCUGUGGAGAAGGAGAUAUUGGUAUUAAGAAGGAGUCAUCAAAGACUUUUAUCAAAAGUGAGAAAGUUGCUAGUGAGUCUUCUGGGAUUUUAUCUAAAACCCCAUUUUUUAUAGAUUUUUUGGCUGGAAAACAGCCUGCUAUUUCCGAAGGGACUGAGUUUGCUUCCUUAAUUAAUGGUGAACAUGGAAAUGAUGAGAAAACACCCAGCAAUGAUACUGUUAGUGAUGAUCUUUCUGCUGAACUGGAUAUAUUGCUUAGCUCACCAGAAAAAGAAACUCAGGAGGUGUUGUCCCACGUUAUUGAUGCACCUUCCCAAUAUGGAGAGAAGCUUAUUCAUGAAAAUCAUGUUGUCUCCUCCAAGGGCAAGAGAAAUCUGAAUCCCCAAUUUCAAGAGGCUGCUGCUGAUGCAGAUGGGCGUGGGUUCAAGAUUGCCAAGGUUAAUAGAGUUUGAUUUAAGGUGUGGGAUUGAGCUGCUGUGUCUAGGUGUAGGAACUUUAUAUAGUAUGUCUACAAGUGUUUAGGAAGGCUUAUGAUUCCAAAUACAUCGAAAUGUAAUCAUGCUGGCUGGAUGGUAUUUUGAUUUGACCUUUUUAGAUUGUGUCCAACAAAUAGGAUUGUCAGAUAUAGGAAUUUUCCUUUUGUGUUGGCUCGGGUCAUCUGCAAACUAGGUCUAUUCUCAACUCCUUCUUUUGUAAUAGUGACUUUGCUAGGGAUUGGACACAUUUUCAAUGUUGUACCCUCUUUAGGUUUCAUACUAGCAUAUGUAGUCAGAUGUUGGGAUCCUCCUUAUCAUAGGAGAGAUAGCCAUAUAUAAUUGUGUAUAUCACUAUCAGUAUUUUAAUGAA